rnacentral:tRNA from 2 species
GGUGUGGUACCCAAACGGUAAGGGAUCAGUCUGCAAAACUGCUAUUCGUAGGUUCGACUCCUAUCCACACCU